rnacentral:rRNA from 1 species
GACAGAGGGUGCAAACGUUGCUCGGAAUUACUGGGCGUAAAGCGCGUGUAGGCGGAACGGUAAGUCGGGUGUGAAAGCCCCGGGCUCAACCUGGGAAUUGCAUUCGAGACUGAAUAGCUAGGGUACGGUAGAGGGAAGUGGAAUUUCCGGUGUAGCGGUGAAAUGCGUAGAUAUCGGAAGGAACAUCAGUGGCGAAAGCGACUUCCUGGACCAGUACCGACGUUCAGGCACGAAAGCGUGGGGAGCAAACAGG